rnacentral:rRNA from 1 species
CCUACGGGAGGCAGCAGUGAGGAAUAUUGGUCCAUGUGCGAGAGCCUGAACCAGCCAAGUCGCGUGAGGGAGUACUGCCCUAUGGGUUGUAAACCUCUUUUGUCGGGGAGCAAAAGCCGGACGUGUCCUGCUGUGAGAGUACACGAAGAAAACGAAUCGGCUAACUCCGUGCCAGCAGCCGCGGUACUACGGAGGAUGCGAGCGUUAUCCGGAUUUAUUGGGUUAAAGGGGGGCGCGGGCGGAUGUUUAAGUCAGCGGUAAAAUCGUGGGGCUCAACCCCAUCCAGCCGUUGAAACUGGGGAUCUAGAGUGUGCGAGAGGUAUGCGGAAUGCGUGGUGUAGCGGUGAAAUGCAUAGAUAUCACGCAGAACCCCGAUUGCGAAGGCAGCAUACCGGUGCACAACUGACGCUCAGGCACGAAAGCGUGGGUAUCGAACAGGAUUAGAUACCCGUGUAGUC